UACGUAGGGGGCUAGCGUUGUCCGGAAUCAUUGGGCGUAAAGAGCGUGUAGGCGGUCCGGUAAGUCCGCUGUGAAAGUCGGGGGCUCAACCCUCGAAUGCCGGUGGAUACUGUCGGGCUUGAGUACGGAAGAGGCGAGUGGAAUUCCUGGUGUAGCGGUGAAAUGCGCAGAUAUCAGGAGGAACACCCGUGGCGAAGGCGGUUCUCUGGGACGGUACUGACGCUGAGACGCGAAAGCGUGGGGAGCGAACAGG
rnacentral:rRNA from 1 species